CGGGAUUUAGCUCAGCUUGGUAGAGCGCUUGGUUCGGGACCAAGAGGUCGCAGGUUCGAAUCCUGUAAUCCCGACCA
rnacentral:tRNA from 1 species